rnacentral:rRNA from 1 species
GGGUUGUGAGGUUAAGCGACUAAGCGUACACGGUGGAUGCCCUGGCAGUCAGAGGCGAUGAAGGACGUGCUAAUCUGCGAUAAGCGUCGGUAAGGUGAUAUGAACCGUUAUAACCGGCGAUUUCCGAAUGGGGAAACCCAGUGUGUUUCGACACACUAUCAUUAACUGAAUCCAUAGGUUAAUGAGGCGAACCGGGGGGAACUGAAACAUCUAAGUACCCCGAGGAAAAGAAAUCAACCGAGAUUCCCCCAGUAGCGGCGAGCGAACGGGGAGCAGCCCAGAGCCUGAAUCAGUGUGUGUGUUAGUGGAAGCGUCUGGAAAGGCGCGCGAUACAGGGUGACAGCCCCGUACACAAAAAUGCACAUGCUGUGAGCUCGAUGAGUAGGGCGGGACACGUGGUAUCCUGUCUGAAUAUGGGGGGACCAUCCUCCAAGGCUAAAUACUCCUGACUGACCGAUAGUGAACCAGUACCGUGAGGGAAAGGCGAAAAGAACCCCGGCGAGGGGAGUGAAAAAGAACCUGAAACCGUGUACGUACAAGCAGUGGGAGCACGCUUAGGCGUGUGACUGCGUACCUUUUGUAUAAUGGGUCAGCGACUUAUAUUCUGUAGCAAGGUUAACCGAAUAGGGGAGCCGAAGGGAAACCGAGUCUUAACUGGGCGUUAAGUUGCAGGGUAUAGACCCGAAACCCGGUGAUCUAGCCAUGGGCAGGUUGAAGGUUGGGUAACACUAACUGGAGGACCGAACCGACUAAUGUUGAAAAAUUAGCGGAUGACUUGUGGCUGGGGGUGAAAGGCCAAUCAAACCGGGAGAUAGCUGGUUCUCCCCGAAAGCUAUUUAGGUAGCGCCUCGUGAAUUCAUCUCCGGGGGUAGAGCACUGUUUCGGCAAGGGGGUCAUCCCGACUUACCAACCCGAUGCAAACUGCGAAUACCGGAGAAUGUUAUCACGGGAGACACACGGCGGGUGCUAACGUCCGUCGUGAAGAGGGAAACAACCCAGACCGCCAGCUAAGGUCCCAAAGUCAUGGUUAAGUGGGAAACGAUGUGGGAAGGCCCAGACAGCCAGGAUGUUGGCUUAGAAGCAGCCAUCAUUUAAAGAAAGCGUAAUAGCUCACUGGUCGAGUCGGCCUGCGCGGAAGAUGUAACGGGGCUAAACCAUGCACCGAAGCUGCGGCAGCGACGCUUAUGCGUUGUUGGGUAGGGAGCGUUCUGUAAGCCUGUGAAGGUGUGCUGUGAGGCAUGCUGGAGGUAUCAGAAGUGCGAAUGCUGACAUAAGUAACGAUAAAGCGGGUGAAAAGCCCGCUCGCCGGAAGACCAAGGGUUCCUGUCCAACGUUAAUCGGGGCAGGGUGAGUCGACCCCUAAGGCGAGGCCGAAAGGCGUAGUCGAUGGGAAACAGGUUAAUAUUCCUGUACUUGGUGUUACUGCGAAGGGGGGACGGAGAAGGCUAUGUUGGCCGGGCGACGGUUGUCCCGGUUUAAGCGUGUAGGCUGGUUUUCCAGGCAAAUCCGGAAAAUCAAGGCUGAGGCGUGAUGACGAGGCACUACGGUGCUGAAGCAACAAAUGCCCUGCUUCCAGGAAAAGCCUCUAAGCAUCAGGUAACAUCAAAUCGUACCCCAAACCGACACAGGUGGUCAGGUAGAGAAUACCAAGGCGCUUGAGAGAACUCGGGUGAAGGAACUAGGCAAAAUGGUGCCGUAACUUCGGGAGAAGGCACGCUGAUAUGUAGGUGAGGUCCCUCGCGGAUGGAGCUGAAAUCAGUCGAAGAUACCAGCUGGCUGCAACUGUUUAUUAAAAACACAGCACUGUGCAAACACGAAAGUGGACGUAUACGGUGUGACGCCUGCCCGGUGCCGGAAGGUUAAUUGAUGGGGUCAGCGCAAGCGAAGCUCUUGAUCGAAGCCCCGGUAAACGGCGGCCGUAACUAUAACGGUCCUAAGGUAGCGAAAUUCCUUGUCGGGUAAGUUCCGACCUGCACGAAUGGCGUAAUGAUGGCCAGGCUGUCUCCACCCGAGACUCAGUGAAAUUGAACUCGCUGUGAAGAUGCAGUGUACCCGCGGCAAGACGGAAAGACCCCGUGAACCUUUACUAUAGCUUGACACUGAACAUUGAGCCUUGAUGUGUAGGAUAGGUGGGAGGCUUUGAAGUGUGGACGCCAGUCUGCAUGGAGCCGACCUUGAAAUACCACCCUUUAAUGUUUGAUGUUCUAACGUUGACCCCUAAUCGGGGUUGCGGACAGUGUCUGGUGGGUAGUUUGACUGGGGCGGUCUCCUCCUAAAGAGUAACGGAGGAGCACGAAGGUUGGCUAAUCCUGGUCGGACAUCAGGAGGUUAGUGCAAUGGCAUAAGCCAGCUUGACUGCGAGCGUGACGGCGCGAGCAGGUGCGAAAGCAGGUCAUAGUGAUCCGGUGGUUCUGAAUGGAAGGGCCAUCGCUCAACGGAUAAAAGGUACUCCGGGGAUAACAGGCUGAUACCGCCCAAGAGUUCAUAUCGACGGCGGUGUUUGGCACCUCGAUGUCGGCUCAUCACAUCCUGGGGCUGAAGUAGGUCCCAAGGGUAUGGCUGUUCGCCAUUUAAAGUGGUACGCGAGCUGGGUUUAGAACGUCGUGAGACAGUUCGGUCCCUAUCUGCCGUGGGCGCUGGAGAACUGAGGGGGGGCUGCUCCUAGUACGAGAGGACCGGAGUGGACGCAUCACUGGUGUUCGGGUUGUCAUGCCAAUGGCACUGCCCGGUAGCUAAAUGCGGAAGAGAUAAGUGCUGAAAGCAUCUAAGCACGAAACUUGCCCCGAGAUGAGUUCUCCCUGACCCUUUAAGGGUCCUGAAGGAACGUUGAAGACGACGACGUUGAUAGGCCGGGUGUGUAAGCGCAGCGAUGCGUUGAGCUAACCGGUACUAAUGAACCGUGAGGCUUAACCUUACAACGCCGAAGCUGUU